rnacentral:rRNA from 1 species
AUACGGAGGGUCCAAGCGUUAUCCGGAAUCAUGGGGUUUAAGGGGUUCGCAGGCGGUUUAAUAAGUCAGUGGUGAAAUCUCGGGGCUCAACCUCGAAACUGCCAUUGAUACUGUUAGACUUGAAUACAGUUGGAGUAGGCGGAAUGUGUAGUGUAGCGGUGAAAUGCUUAGAUAUUACACAGAACACCGAUAGCGAAGGCAGCUUACUAAACUGUGAUUGACGCUCAUGAACGAAAGCGUGGGGAGCGAACAGGAUUAGAAACCCCAGUAGUCC